ACCCCGCCUCUCUCUCUCUCUCUCUUUCUCUCUCUCUCUCUCAACCAAUUUUAAAAAAUCUAGAUGCCAUUCUUAAGUUUCUCUGUUUCUUGAAGGGAUUGCCACAUGUUAUAAGAGUGUGUUGCUGAGCAGGAGAGGUGUCCUCAGGUAAUGACUUUGUUUCAACUUCUGAGUGGCCUGGGCAUCCAUGGGCGGCUCUCUCUGUCGUCUUUGAACCUUCCUGAGGGCCAUAGGACCAGCUGAAAGGAACAUCAACACAACUAAAAAACACAACAGAACAUGUCACAGAAAGUCAUCACAUUGAGUAUUCAAUAAACAUAAAUACAUACAAUGAUACUUUAGCUCCCUGCUAUUCCUAUCUAUGUGAAGACCACAUCACCAGGAAAACGUAGCCCUUUCUUAUUGUCCCCCUGGCUCAAGACCAGCCACAGCUCUGUGGGCCUGUGUGAGGGCACCAUGCUAAUCCCCCCGGAGAAAAUGUCCUGUAAGAAAAGCUUCAGGUGAAUCCCACAGGCAACUUACUGAAAUAGGGCAUGUAGAGAACCAACAGCAGGACAUUAGGGACACGUUCAAAUAGCUAAAGAGUAAAUGCAAAAUAAAAUAACUGUGGGUACAUAAGUCCUCAGCAAUGCAGGAAUGAUUGAAGCCACCAGAGUUGCUAGGAGUUAAUGUCAAUUCCUGUAUUUAAAUUUAUAGUGCCUGGCUCAUGCCCAAUAGAGGAACAAAAGGAAGAAAGGAAGGAAGAAAGGAAGGGGGGAGGGAGGGAGAGAAGAAAAAGAGAGAGAAAGAAUGAGGGAGGAGGGCAGGAAAGAAAGCAAGAAAUAAAAGAAAGGUUUCUGAGGUGUGGAAGAGGCAGAGGCAUAGAGUGUACAGAGAGGAAAAACAGCAUGCGAGCAAGUUCAAAGACUUGGAAGCCAGGGGAAACAGGCUUGGUUAAUU